rnacentral:rRNA from 1 species
GAUGAACGCUGGCGGCGUGCUUAACACAUGCAAGUCGAACGGAAAGGCUCCUGCUUGCAGGGGUACUCGAGUGGCGAACGGGUGAGUAACACGUGGGUGAUCUGCCCUGCACUUCGGGAUAAGCCUGGGAAACUGGGUCUAAUACCGGAUAGGACCACAUUUUGGAUGGUGUGGUGGAAAGUUUUUCGGUGUGGGAUGAGCUCGCGGCCUAUCAGCUUGUUGGUGGGGUAAUGGCCUACCAGGGCGUCGACGGGUAGCCGGCCUGAGAGGGUGUACGGCCACAUUGGGACUGAGAUACGGCCCAGACUCCUACGGGAGGCAGCAGUGGGGAAUAUUGCACAAUGGGCGCAAGCCUGAUGCAGCGACGCCGCGUGGGGGAUGACGGCCUUCGGGUUGUAAACUCCUUUCGCUAGGGACGAAGCGCAAGUGACGGUACCUGGAGAAGAAGCACCGGCUAACUACGUG